rnacentral:rRNA from 1 species
AUGAACGCUGGCGGCGUGCCUAAUACCUGCAAGUCGAGCGAACAGACGAGGAGCUUGCUCCUCUGACGUUAGCGGCGGACGGGUGAGUAGCACGUGGAUAACCUACCUAUAAGACUGGGAUAACUUCGGGAAACCGGAGCUAAUACCGGAUAAUAUAUUGAACCGCAUGGUUCAAUAGUGAAAGACGGUUUUGCUGUCACUUAUAGAUGGAUCCGCGCCGCAUUAGCUAGUUGGUAAGGUAACGGCUUACCAAGGCAACGAUGCGUAGCCGACCUGAGAGGGUGAUCGGCCACCUUGGAACUGGGACACGGUCCAGACUCCUACGGGAGGCAGCAGUAGGGAAUCUUCCGCAAUGGGCGAAAGCCUGACGGAGCAACGCCGCGUGAGUGAUGAAGGUCUUCGGAUCGUAAAACUCUGUUAUUAGGGAAGAACAAAUGUGUAAGUAACUAUGCACGUCUUGACGGUACCUAAUCAGAAAGCCACGGCUAACUACGUG